rnacentral:rRNA from 1 species
CGUGAGGGAGGAGGCUCUUGGGUUGUAAACCUCUUUUCUUGGGGAAGAAAAAAUGACGGUACCCAAGGAAUCAGCAUCGGCUAACUCCGUGCCAGCAGCCGCGGUAAUACGGAGGAUGCAAGCGUUAUCCGGAAUUAUUGGGCGUAAAGCGUCCGCAGGUGGCACUUCAAGUCUGCUGUCAAAGACCGGGGCUUAACCCUGGAGAGGCAGUGGAAACUGAAGCGCUAGAGUGUCGUAGGGGUAGAGGGAAUUCCUGGUGUAGCGGUGAAAUGCGUAGAGAUCAGGAAGAACAUCGGUGGCGAAAGCGCUCUACUGGACGACAACUGACACUCAGGGACGAAAGCUAGGGGAGCGAAUGGGAUUAGAUACCCCCCGUAAACGAUGGAUACUAGGUGUG